AUUUAUAUAGUUUAGUAAAAUAUUACAUUUUCACUGUAAAGUCGGGAAUCCCCUUUAAAUA
rnacentral:tRNA from 1 species